CGGGACGGGUGGGUAAUGUCUGGGAAACGUCUCGAUGGAGGGGGAUAACUACUGGAAACGGUAGCUAAUACCGCAUAACGUCGCAAGACCAAAGAGGGGGACCUUCGGGCCUCUUGCCAUCGGAUGUGCCCAGAUGGGAUUAGCUAGUAGGUGGGGUAACGGCUCACCUAGGCGACGAUCCCUAGCUGGUCUGAGAGGAUGGCCAGCCACACUGGAACUGAGACACGGUCCAG
rnacentral:rRNA from 1 species